rnacentral:lncRNA from 1 species
AAGGAAGUAUUUGGCGGCAUCACCCGUGAAAUCUGGGUGGCCUGAACCAAGAUUCUUUCAUUGUCAUCUGCACAAAUCAUUGCACAUUUACUCCUCAAAUAUAAUACCAUAGUUAAAAAGUUAUUCACCUAAAUCGAUAUGAUCUGAUUAGUUUCAUCUCAUCUCAAGAGACGAGUUUUUUUUGUUAAAUUUGAAUUUCCUUUAGAGUAAGUGGACCUGGGCUUUUUGACAUGGUCAAGAACAAGAAUGACUGAAAUUUGGAGUAGGAUCAUUCUGUAGAUAAAAAAGAAUUUAAUUUACAUUCUACAGUUAACUAUUCUAAAAUCCGUCCGUCCGUUCAUUCUUUAUUUUUAGUUUUUCUUUUCAAAGCUAAAAUAGGGUUUUACUGUUUUAAGGCAUGGUCAAACUUUUUUCAAUUUUAUUCAUAUUCGAUAACUAUAUAUAUUAUUAAUUAAGUCUUUUUUUUUUCAUUUAGUGAUAAUUUUUAAUUAUUCUCAAUAUUUUAGAAUUUAGACAUAAAGUUUUAUACACUGUCAGUAUAUCAUUUAUCAUUAUAUUUAGUUAUUGUUUACCUCUUCAAAAAAGUAAUACAAAUAAAUGAUGAAUGAUGUAUUAUUUGUAUAUGAAUCCUUACAUUAAAAUUGUAUAAAUAUUACUCUUGAUAUAUUAUAUAUAUUAAACAAUUGACAUAAGUUAAAAUUAAUAACAGUGUCAUGUUUUUUAUUACUUGUCAUUAAGGGACUCUAACAACGUUGACAUAGUUUCGCGUUUUCUCCAGUCUCGUCGUUGUCGAUGUCUUCCGAUCCUUUCACCUUGGCCACUCACAUCGAUAUAUUUAUUUGUUACAUAUUCCGGCAACCCAUUUUAAUUUUGCUAUUUUUAUUAGCAAGUGGAUAGAUAAACUCCAUUGAAAACUUUUUAUGAUAACUUCAUUUAUAUUUUUCAAUAUAUCUUUACAACUUAGCCAUUUAUGUUUAUCUAGAACAUGAACCAUGGCUAUUUCUAUUCUUCUGGAUUUCGUAAUUAAACAUCACCAGAGCAAUACUUGCAAAAUCCAAUUUCGGAAAGUUUUGCUCUAUAAGCUCACAUGGUGUGACUCUACAAGAGUUUUGGUCUAACAGGAUCUGAACUUUCGUAUACGUCCAAAAGCUAACUACCUUUUUUACCUUAUUGGCUAAGUGAUUUGAUUGAACAAUCUUGAUCAUUCCAUUCUAUUUUUUCCUUAUCUUCUUCCCUGCCUAGAAAGUGAUGCAAUACAGUUCCCUCAUUUUUGGAAAUAUUUUCCUCCUUUAUGUCAGUGAAUACCUUAUAUCAUCUUUGCUGAACCUGAAUCUUCACAUGACAAAAUGAGCAUUCAUUUAUUAUUUUCGUUCCUCUCCUUUCCAUAGUAGUAAUUGACAAUUUGGAACUGUAGCGGAUUUCAUUUCUAGCCUAUAACCUUCAAUUGACCUAGAUAGUAGCUACAUUUUUUUCUUUUUAGUAAUUAAAUUAGUUCUGAUUAAAAAAAAUUAUUAUUACAUUACAAAAUCAUUUUUUAAGCUAAUCAAUUAGCUUAAUUAUUUCACGAAAAUAAGUUACUCUGUAAUGAUUGAUAAAUAAACAUAUUUUUUUGUAUAACAAAUGAUAUAGCUUGAUCUUAUAGACAUAGAACUAAUUUUUAUAGGGUAGUGUCGCUUCUAGAAAUUGAAUCUUUAACUUUUUGAUUCAUAUAAAAUCCAAUUAAGCCUUAUGUCACUAGACCAAUGUAUUAUUGGUUAAAUAAACUUAGUUUAGUACACCUUAGUUUAUAAGUUCCAAUUUGAUAACAUAGUAUAAAUAAGUUAGAAGUUAUAACUUUAUCUUAUUUUACACAUCACAUAAUUUGUUAGCUAAUUUUUAUAUAAUUCUAAUUCAGCUUUUAGUUUAUAAUAGUAAAAACUUAUUUAUGCCAAAGAAAAUCAGAGUCGAUUGAGUGAGCUUUGCUAACAUUGGGUAAUGGUCUUAGAAAAUUUAGUAAUCAUAAGUGCAGAUGAUGUUGUAUUUUGUGCAGUGCAUAUCCCUGCGAUAUGCUGGUCAAGAUUUGCUUGUCCCACACAUUAACUAUGAAAUAAUUAAAAUGAUAUAUGAUAUCUACAUCAUGGUUCAUGCAUGUAACCAUCAGACGUAUACACAUAUGAUUCUCCACGAUCCCAGUAAGAAAAACAGUAUCACUUGACAAUUAUAUGCGGACAACCUGAAAAGACAAAUAUUAAGGUUUUGUCGUGAUGACUAGUUCGAUGGAUCAGUAAACAAUGUCCUACAUCUUUAUGAUGCUCUCGAUUUUCUGAAUGAAAAAUUGAUUGUUCUAGCAAUUCUAUGAUUGUAACCAAAUAAAUAUAAAAGACAAUGUAACUGUGAUUCAGCUGGUUAUAUGUCGGGGUACGUUUCAUGAUUCAUGUAAUGUAAUGUUUUAACUAAGUUCAGAUUCAUAGAAAGCAUUAUUGAUUUUCUACUGUUGGUAUAGAAGUCUUUGAAGGGAAAAAAUUAAACUAUUGACCACUACUCAUAUUGUUUUGGAAACCGUAUCAUCUUUGAUUUUUUCCUAUCUUUUUCUGAUGAUUUUGAAGCUUCAUAAAAAGAAGAAAAAUUAAAGUUGUAAUACCUGCUACAAAUUCAAAAGAAUUUAUUUGAUGAAAAAAACUGUUGAGUGAUAAAGUCUCUACUAGUAUAACAGUAUAGUGGGGUUCAAUACAAUUAGUGUCUUUCCGUAACUUCCUUUUUUGUUUAAAAAAAGGUGGCAUUGAAGAGUGCUAUUACAUGUACCCAAUAUAAGGAAAAAAAGAAAGAAUGUUGAUUUCUGUACCAUACAGCUAAAAAGGAGCCAUUAACUAAAUCCUUCAUCCAAAUAGAAUCAGAACAAAUAUUUGUAACUACAAGCAUCAAUCAUAUAAUAAAAAGGGCGGCAUUCAGAAACUUUCUUUUGAAGCAAGUUUAGGUAUCUUGUUGGUAGAUAAGGAACCCAUAUUUAUUGUCUCAAAUCAUGUCUCAUAUUUUGUUCUCUACCAAUAAAAAUAUGUCAGGCUAAUUAUUAUUGAGCAUGACAAUGUAUGAGAUAAGAUUUGGGAUAACAAAUCUUUGUUUGUUUAUAGAUAAUACCACUAGUGGUUUGUAAGCCAAUUCAAGAAAAAAAUAAUACUAACAUCAUUACUCCUUAAAGCAACAAAGUUUUAAACCUAGUUUUCUAAUGAUGAUUAGGGCCAUUACAAUUUCGUUUUAGCCAUCUCUGCAAUCGAAUCACAAUUGCAUUUGUAACUUCACAACAUUUUCAUGCAAUACUGCACAAUUACAAUAAAGUCAAUCUAACCUUGAAGGGGGUCACAAUUUAAUAUUGUGCUAAUGUAAGAAAAUAUUGAAUAAUUAAGGCUUGAGGAUUUGGUAAAAAAUUAAUUGAUCAUGAUUGUGACUCCAUGCCUUCCAUAACGUACUUUUGGGCAAAGUCUAUGUUUUGCCCCCACUAUAUACUCUUUUUCAGUUCAUAAUAGAAUCAAAGUGGCUACUGUAUUAUAGUACCACACCCUUGACACUUUUUGAACUGUAUCUUAGCCUUUUAUAUGUUACUUAGAAGGUUGCUGACAAAUCAAGCUAAUAGCAAUCUUGCAACAUCUUUGAAAAGCAGCAAACUACUGUUGGAUCACUACUUCUCUGAUUGAUGCUGCUUUUAGUUGGUAAUAUAAUCCGAUCCAAUAUGGACAGGGAUAGUGGGUGUUAUUUUGUUUGGCCUGUGAUAUGAGCAAAAAAGUUAAGGAGUUGAAUACAAGUGGAUACAGCUAUGCUAAGUCUUGUGAUUGGUGCCAUACUAUGUUUUUUGUUCUGAUUCAUUUGUUCUACAUCAUCGAAGUUCACAAUUUGGGUCUUUGUUGUUUCACCAUAUCUAACUUUGUUGACUCACUAAUGGCUGAAGGGCCAUCUAGUACAUUCAUUCAUGAUCAGUUUAAAUACUAUAUAUGGGAGGCAGAAUAUUACUGAAUAUUGAGUAAUUAUGACGUUAAUUAAUAUAAGCUAUGUUUGAUUAUACAGGAACAAAAGGACAAUAGUCCUACUGUACUGAUGUUCAGAAGAGGAAUGGUUGGAUAAUUAAAUAAAUAAAAGAAAAGAAAAUAUUGAAAAUGAUAGAUUGGACAGUCAUGUGAUGAUUUUGAUUGAGAGAUGAAGGCUCUAUUCUUUGACAAUAAAUUUACCGGCACUGAAUUAAAUAUCCGCAGAAGUUUGUGACGGUAUCAUGGUUGCAAUCCUCGAAAUAUAUACCAAACAAAUUCUUGAAAACUACACAACAGGGGUACUUGUACUUAAUAAAAAAUAGCUGUGUUAAACUUGAUUUGAUCUUAAUCCUAUAAUAGCACUUCGCUUAUGUAUUAGUUGUACUGUCUCCACUUCCUGAUACACAUCUUCACAAGUAUAACAUAUAGGUAGAAUCAAAUAAGUACAAAACACAUCGCAUGAACUUAAUUAACUAACUCACAUCGAGAUAAAUAAUUGCAUAUUUGGUAAAAGUAAUUCACGAGAGCAUACUUAGAAAAAUCAUAUAAAUUAAAACUAUGGUGGCUAAGCAUUAGACUCACUUGAUUUUAGGGAUGGAACUACCGUAUAAUUAUAUUUAAGGAUAAAAGUGUUACUUAACACUAUUUUUUUUCUUUUGAUUUUGAGGUACUUCUUUCUUCAGUAAUAGAUAAGAUCCUCACCAGGUGAUUAAGUGCCUUAAAACAACAUAUAUUUAAAUUAAUUUUUGAAUUAAAUAUGUACUAUUCAUUCUAGCAAUCAUAGCUCCAGUAAUGACUUCUGCCGUAUGGAGAGGAUUUGUUCUCUAAGACUUCCAUCUAUUUUGAUUUGAGAAGGAUAAUUAUACUUGAACGAAAAUCAUAAGAGGAUAAUAAAAAUACUAAGAGUAAUAUUGCUACUAUGACAUCAUAUUUCUCUCACUCAAUUAAUUUGAAUCAUAUUAGGAGAUUCAUGUAAAAGAUUUUUUUAUUUAUAUUUAUCUUACUCAGGGAACCAAACCUCUUGCGAUGCAUUUAUAUUAUUACAAUUGACACAAGAAAAAUAAAAUAAGUUUCUUAAUUACAAACUUUAGAGAUAUUGUUGAUGAAGAAAGCGAAUGACAGUGUUAUCAAUUUAUUUGAGUUGGUUCCUUAAUUAUAAGUUAGAACUUAGAAACUAUAAAAGCAAAUAAGAGAGAUUAAAAAUAGCACUGAACAUUAUGAAAGUUGGAUUGUGAAAGCAAAAAUGAAUUAAGCUGGCCUGAAUCUCUGCUUGCAAGAAUGGCAAGUUAUCUCCAUGCACGUAGAAUCCAUUUGCCUUGUGGCCAUUUCUUUCAUUCUCUCAGCACGUUCCACUUCCUCUCUCGCUCUCUCCCACAUUUCCCUCGCUCUCGAGAACUCCGACUGCGCCAUCUCCAUCUCCCUCCGUGUCAGUUCUCUCACUCUUUCAGCGUACGCCUUCUCCAUCGCCGCUAGCCUGAUUUGCUCCGCCGCUUCCCACUUCAGAGCCUCCACCAUCGCCGGCGGACCGACGCUGAUCGACAGCUGGAGGUCCAGGGAGGGACCGGUUUCCGUUGUGGUCGAUGAUCGCAACCGGAGAAGGGAGGAAUCGGCGGCGUGGGAACGUGGUGAAGGUAGAAGGUCGAGUUCUUUGUUGUGUUGGUUUUCCAUUUGAAUUGAAUUGAGGAAAGAAGAGAAAAAGGGAGAAGGAGAGGAAUGAGUACGGUAAUGAGGGAACUGGGAAGAUGAGGAAAAUUGCUUUUGACAGGGUAAUGGCAAGUGAUUGUUUUUUGGAUUCUGAACCACCGUAGGUUUAUAUAACGAACUUCACGUGAUUAAAAUACCAUUUUGCCCUUUUGUUCUGUUCAACAUUGUUUAGAAAGAAAAAAAAGAAAAGUUCUACAUACUUUUUGAAAGGAAAAUAUUUAGUUCCAAAUGAAUAAAAUUAGUGACGAUUUACAUGGAUAUUAGUCACCUUUUUUAAUUGCAACUUUAUUUUAAUAUUAUUAUAUGAAAAACAUUUUUGAAAAAAUUGGCAAUUAUUAAAGGUAACAUAAAACACUAGUUUAAAAUAAUUUAAUCAUAGAGUAAAGAAAUAGUUUUUGUUGUUGUUUAAAGUUGAAUUGAAAGAGAAAACAGAAAACUUAUGUUUAAGGAUAAGGAUGAAUGAGUAAUUUUGGUGGAAGAAGAGGAUAGGAGAUUUUAAAGGAGGGAAAUUCCGUUAUGAGAUGAGGGAAAAAGAGGGAACAUAACGGAUCACGUUAUUUGAAUAGUGGUGAAUUGAGACAGUGAAAAAAGCUAGUGGCAUCCUUUUAGUUUCAUCGAAUAUUUUAAUAAUUUGACCUUUUCUUUUCCGGGGAUGAGAUGCGCAGGCAUUGAGUAUAUGUGUGUGGGUAUGUAAUAAUUACAGCCGCACGUGCGUGUUGCUGAGACUGAACCGAUUAAUAAACUAUAAUAAAAAGUAAUUUUAAUAACAAACCUAUAACAACUUUUAGUUGUUUUUUUAGAUAGAUUUGUAAUAUGUAAUAUAAAGAUAAAAUACGACAGAUACAUUUUUAAUAUGCAUAUAAAAGUGAAGAGAAUCAAUCCAUUUACACACAAUUUAAGUUACAUUAAUUAUAUUCAAUCUUAUUCAUAGAUUUUCUUAAAUCUAACCGACCAAAUGUGUGAAAAAAUAAAUGAUGAGAGAGAAAAAAAACAUCUUAGAUUUCUUUUAAUUUUCAUUCAUUUGGACUGUUAGAUUUAAAAAAAUUCAAUGGAUGAGAUAGAAUGUAAUUAAUAUAACUUAAAUUGUGUGUAAACAAAUCUCUCCUAAAAAAUAAAAUACCUACAUAUAUAAUAUGAUAUGGUGUAAGAGAAGUCGUAAAAUUUUAAUAGUUGAUAUAACAUCUAUUGCAUAUAAAAAUAGUUGGUAUUUACUUUUCAAAAUAUAUAUAUAUUUAUUUAUUUAUUGUAUAUGACUCAUAUAUAUUGUCAUUGUAUCAUCUAUCAGUCAUAUUUAAUUCUUACCGUUUAUUAUUCAAAAUCAAAAAAGAUAAUCAAAAUAAAUGGUAAAUGAUAUAGUGAUUAUAUAUUACACCAUUUGCUUUUACACUUGUAAUUCUUUAUCAUUUCUUUGUAAUUUCUAUUGUUUUACGGUAUAGCUACGAGUGUAAAGGAAGCAGAUGAGUGCAGUGAAUUAGUGAAUAUUCACUCCUAUUUACAAGUACUUUCCUAUAAUCUUGUAGAAGUUUCUCAGCGGCUGAGGCUCAAAUUUACUUUCACUUAAAUGUUUUACUUUGAUCGUAAUAAUACACGUUGAGAUUACUACUUAUUUAAUUAACAACAUAUUCAUACGUGUUUUUUUCUCCUUAUCUAUGAACUACGAAAAAGAGAGAGAAAUAGAUCAUUAGAAUCAUUUUUAUAUGCAACAUGCAUGUUUGCAAGGUACAUGUGGACUGGACAAAUAUAUUUCUAGCUUGCAGAUUUGGAAUUCCAAAGGAUGCUAACUAUGGCUGAUGCUUUGGUUUUUUUGCCUGUGGUCUAUCUGUUGAUGAGAAAUGGCUGUAUCUUUAGUAGCAAGGAGUUUGGCUACACUCAGAUCAUGGAUUUAAUCCAGAUUAGAUCUUAGGCUUGGUUCUCGGUUGCAGUAAGGUGAAUAGUUAUUAUACAUUUGCAAAUUGGUGUUUGGAUUCGUGGUUCUAUAUUCUUUCUUCUUCUUAAUUAUUCUUUUGUGGUUCUGUUUGUAUUGGGUUAGUACCCAUUAUGCUUUGUAUGUAUUUCCUGUGCUUAGCAAAAAAAUUAAGGAGUAUAAUUGAUCAACUUCAGUGAGUAAAGAUUGAGGGAAAAAAAUUGUCCAUGAGAUAUCAAAGAAUCUAAUGCACACCAAGAAAUUGUGAAAGAUAGAAUUAUGUCUAAAACUGCAUGAUCUAUACUAAUUUUAAGCCGCUUAUAACUUUUUUUUAGAGUUAAGGACACAAUAUAUUAAAAUUUAAAAUUUGACGCGGUUUGCUAACAGCAACAAAGUAGCAAAAUUAGAAGAAUGAAAUAAGUUUUUUUCUUUUCCCUAAGUAGUCCAAUGGCUUUUUUGUGUUUACAGUCCAAUGAAAAAAUUGUGCUCCUUUAAUCCUUUUGAAGAUAAUAAUAAAGUUGGAGCUGCCAUAAGCCCAUAACACAGUGUAUUAUUUUAUGUUUGAGUGGUUGAAAUCUUCAUCUUGUUGUUGAUUUGCAAGAGUCCAUUUUGGACCAUCUUGAGUUGGUACUUGAAAAGAGAAUUUGAAGCUCAAAUAAAUAUAAGUAUCUUAAAAGUAAGAAAAAUAGAGUGAGAAUAUGAAUAUUUUCCAUACGUGCCUUGUUGCAAUUUUUGGUACUGUAAGUAAACCAUAUCGUUCAAGUAACAAAAUCUGGUAAAUAUUGGUAUAUCGUCCUUAGAGAGUAGAGUAAAUUUAUACUAAUUCCUAUAGAAGUAGAUCGAGUAUAUAUUUAUAAGAUUUGAGAUUUCAAUGUUCAUUUGGUUUUUGAAUAUAAAUGUUAAUAUGCAAAAGUUAAACUAUGAAAUUAAAUAAGUUGGGAUUGAAGAUCAUCUUUCUUUCCCUUUGCAAUAUUUAGAUUCAGUUCCACAUAACUUGUGAAAUUAUAAAUUUUGAUGCACAUUUUCUUCGAAUCAUUUGUAUCAAUUCCUUGAGUAUAAAAUCCUUAGAUAAUUACUCUAAUAUUAAUUCUUUGGAUAUUUAACCAAUUAUCUAGUCUUAAGUUUAAUGUAAAAGCAAUUCAUAUAUCAUUGUUCAUUACUAGAGCAAUGAUGUAUCAAGGAAGAUAAACCAAAUUCGAUACCAAGUUCAACUUCCUAGUUAAACUUGGAUCUAAGAUAAAAAAUUCAGUAGCAAGGUAAACUCAAGCAUUAAACACGAGAUAUACUUCCCAAAAUUAAAUAACUGAAUAUAUUAAAGAAUUGAAUCAAGGAGUACAAAAGUUAGAAAAUUAAAUUUUCAAUCCUAACACUGAAGAACUAGCCACUCAUCAUUGCCACUACAACACUCUUCUCAUGAGAGACACAAGAAAUUAUGGAUCUAAAGUCGUUCUCACGACUUCUCUCUUCCUUUCCAGUGUUUCUCUCUCUAAAAACCAUGUGGAAAAGCUUGGAGAAUGGUUUGAUACCCAUUCUUUGCUAUCCGUAACCGCCUAUAUAUCUUCCAAACUUAUGGUCUCUUGCUCAAGCUAGAGAUUAUCGCUUAAGCAAGAAAGAUGACCAUCUUCAACCAUGAACACCUCGCUUGGGCGAGAGCCACAAAGUGAAUCAGGUCCUUUUAAGCUUCAUUUGUCGCUUGAGCGACAGUCCGUCACUUGGGCGAGGGACAGUUAGUGAUUUAAGCCUUUUUUCCUUAAAUUGUCGCUUGGGCGAUAGUCACCUUGCUUGGGCGAGGGACAUUCUUCCUGCUUGGGUGAGGUUGUAGCUCAAGCGAGGGGUGCAGUGUUCAAAAACCUCAAACUUUUCAUUUUUUUCAUGCUUUUUAUUCUACAAUUGACAUAAACACAUGUAAGUUCCUAAAAAAGACAAAAUUAGACUAAGUUCUUCGGAGUUGUACACAAUUUGCAUCAUGACUACACAAUAAACACUCCAAAAUCAUAUAUAUUUCAUUCACAAAAUGGCACUUAACAUGCCUUCACCUAUUUCUAUUGAGGUGAAAUGGUCUACACUCUAAAGGGUCUACUUCUGCCAUGUUAGAAACGAGAACCUGUAUUGUUAAGGUGACAUGAACUUGCCUUUGGCGUGAAUGAAAGUAGCCAACAUCAUAUUUUUCCUUAAUUAGGAUAACAUUUGAAGUAUAAUGAUGUAAACCAAGGGGGGCAACCUAUGAUUUGUGGAAGAUAAUCUUACAAGUACAAGAGUCAAUUGGAGUCCAUAUUCUUGGAAGGAAAUUAUGAUAGUUUUAAUUAUUGUUUUCAAUAAUUAAAGAUUUUUUUCUCAUGGUUAGUCUUAGGAUUUAUUUUAAAUUAUUGUUAAGUAUUUUUAUUUAAAUCAUGUAAUAUAAGAGUUGAGAAUUUAAUUACUUGUAUCAUGGUUCAUUAGUGGCCAAGUAGGUUGAUUAGGCAUGAUUAAAAAAGGGUGUGCGAAUCUUUGGGCUUUAGUUCAAAUUGUGAUGUGAACCUCUAGGGGUGAUUUGCUUUCUUUGUUGAUCUUUCUUGCCUGAAAUUUAAUUUGACUCAUGGAAUAACACUCUUAUAUGAAUGUUCACGUUUUUGUGUAUGAUUAUAAGUGAAAUAUGUAUGGAAUUAGUAUUUGGACUGAACUGGUGUUUAAUUUUGAUUUAUAAUUUUUGAUGUGUUUGCGUUAAAUAAAAGAAAGUGAAAAUGAUGAAGAUGGAGGCGUCACAAGCAAAGUAGCUUGAUAAGCCAAAGAGGUUCACCACAAGGAAUGCUCCUUGAUAAAAACAAAGUUAAGACGCCACACCAAUGGUGAUAAGCUUAUGAAUGCUACAAGAAUUAGUCUUGAUAAGUUCUAAAUUAGGAGCAAAACUCAACUAAAGAGGAAUUAAUACAAAUAAAAUUCAACUUAAUUCAUUCCUGCUGAAAAUGAAUACAUAAAUAAGAAUUCUGAAAUUGACUAAAUCCUAAUUUGAAUUUUAAAAUCCUAAUUAAACAUGUAAUUAAUUGGUCUUUAGUGGGAGUUUAAUGAGAGAUUUGUCUUGGCAUGGAUUUGACCGAAUUCCAUUGAGUAUUCAGUCAUGUGCUUAUUUGUUUUGUGUCUUGCUUGGCUGACUUUGAAUAUGGACGGAUUCCUCAAGGAAAAGGCUUGAAAAGGAAAGUUCAUAAAUUCUUGAAUCUUCAUGUUUUUGACCAUGAGUUGGAAUUUACAUUUGAGUAGGCUAAUUGCUCUUGAUACUUGCCAAUCUGAAUUGAAGCCCAAAGAUUCACACAACCCUUUUAGUCAUGCCUAAUCAAUCUACUUCACCACUAAUGGACCAUAAUACAAGUAAUUAAAUUCUCAACCAUCAUAUUACAUGAUUUAAAUAAAAAUAUGUAACAAUAAUUUAAAAUAAAUCCUAAAACUAAAUUAAAUCCUAAGACUCAUUAUGAGAAUAAAAUCUCAAAUUAUUAAAAAUAAUAACUAAAACUAUCAUAAUUUUAUUAUAAGAAUGUGGACUCCAAGUGACUCUCCUAUUUAUAAGAUUGUCCUCCACAAAUCAUAGGUUGCCCUCUUGGUUUACAUCAUAUAAUCUACGAUCAUAUAGGCCAAAUUUUGCCAGAUUGGUUAUUGGUCUAGUCCCUAGUAGUCGAUCUAUCAUAAUAGUGAUAUAUAACAAUAUGCAUUUCUCCUCUCAUUCGUAAUUUAUUCUGGUUAUGGUCUAUUGGAAAAGAAUUAAUUAUGAGAUUGUUAUGUUUGACAAAACAUUGUGUAGCUAUCACUGUUGUGCAAUUUUUACUUUCUUAUUUUAUUCUUAACAAUUUUCUAGUUCUAUAAAAAACCACAGAAUCUCAUAUGUAAUAAUCACCAACAUAUUAAUCAUCUUUCUCACCUUAAAUUAAAUAUUAUAAUAAAACAAAAAAUCCUAAUAUAAAGUGUACCCAUAAAAAAGUACUAUCUAAAAUACACUCAAAUAAAAAAAUUUAUUUUAAUUCCUAAAUAAUAUAUGUAGACUGAACUCGUCAUGUUAGUGUUAAUAAGGACACUAAAGAUAUUAUUUACAAAUAUAAAAAAGAAAACUAACAUUGAAGUUUUUUAAAAGUAAGUAUAACAUUUAUUGAAGUAUGAAGAUGUCAUUUAAAAAAUUAAGAUUUUCCUUUUCUUUAAUAUUUCUCUUAAGGUAUUUAUUAAUACUUUUAUUAAUCUGACAAUUGAUACUAAUCAGUUUAUAAUUCACCGUGUUUUUUCCAUCGUGCUUAAUUGCAGCAAAACACAUCCUUCGUCUUUUGACCAUUCAUUUCUUUUCACAUGUAAUAACUACCGAUUGAAACAUCAAGUGCUCAAUAAUAGCGAGUAUAUAAUUUACGAAAAAUGAUAUAUCCUCCUACUAUAUCCUUCUACCCAUAAGAAAAUAAGAAAAUGACAUGUGUCACAAUAAGAUACUUUAAUUAUUAAUGAUUGGAUUACAAGUGACAUAUGUCAUUUUUUUAUGGGUAGAAAAAUUAGUAGGAGAAUUUAGUAAAAAGAUAUAGCAAUGCUCUAUAAUUUACCCAAUCAAUAAUUCAUAUGCCAAUAUUUUCAUAAUUAUUGAUAAUCAAGUUCGUAUUGACCCGUACUAUUAUCACUAUGUUACUUAUGGAAAAAUAUCACAUGUUCUAAAUAAUACCCCAUUUUAUGUCCGAAGCCAAUUAAAGUGUUUCAUUUUAUUAUUUUUUGUAUUUAAAAUUUUAUUUUAUUUACGUGUUAACAUAUAAUUGAUUUGGCACGUCAUUUGAAACAAAUUACUUAUAAGAUGAAAGAUGCAACACGUACGUGUCUGAUCAUUUGCCGAUGCAACACGUACGUGUCUCAUCAUUUGCCUAUGCAACAAAGUGGCGAUUGAUAUGACGGGAAUUCGCAAAAAGUGGGAAUCUAAAAUAAAUAGUUAAAAACAUAAAACUCCAUAUACAACCCUUAAAUAUUGAUUGAUUUAAAUUAUUAUAAAAAUUCAAUUUGUUAAGAUAUGUCUAGUUCCUUUGGUUGGAUUUUGAAGCAGAAGAUAACGAAUAUAUGCUCCACACCAGAAUGUGAAACAUCCAUGGUGGAUGGAAUAAGAUCACCUAUUUUUAUUUGGCUAUUUAAUGUUUCUUAAUUAUGAGAGUCUUGUGUUUACUUUGAAGGUAAUUAGCUCCUCUUCUACUACUCAAGUUAGGAAAUUGUUUUUGCUGUUUCAAAUAGUAAAGUUUGUACCAAUAACUUACUGGUCUAGUGGUGUAAUAUUCCAUUAGAUCACACAAUGACCAAAAGGUCGUCAACAGUUCGAUUCCUAUGAGUGAGUGAGUGACACUUGUUAGGAAAAAUAAUCACAUAUCUUAAAAGAAAUUAGUUCCUUACCCAAAAGGUGUAAGAUACCCUCUUAAUACAACAAAAUAAUAGAAAAGUUGAUUUGUUUUUCAUCCUUCCCAUAAAGUUAUCAAUUAGGAUAAGAAAAUUUAAUAUUUGAUUAUAUUAUAUAUAUAACAAAAAAAACUUCUAACACCUUAUUAUUUGUCACAUGUCAUAUUUUCCUUCAUUUUUCGCUCCUAAAUGGUUUCAUGGUAAUCACAUGUACUUUUUUCACACUAUAUUUGCUCUUUCUUUAUUAUAGUAAUAAUUUAAUAAAUAAUUAUUGUAUUUUUUAUGACUACACCUUAAAUUGCAUUUUAAUUGUUAUUGAGGUCCAUGACUUUCUUUUUCUCUUUCAACAAUUUUUCUCUUCCAACAAUCUUCUUUUUCUUUGGUUUCAUUUCAUUAUGUAUCUUCAUUAUCAUCAUUCUCUUUCUCUUUAGAGUGCGUUUAUUUAUUUGUAGAUCUAUUCUUAUUUUGUAAAUCUGAUGUUUAAAGUAUAUUUUCAUUAAUCUUUUUAUUUAUUUUGUAGAUUUGUUCUUAUUUUUUUGGUAAUUUUUUCAUUUAUUUCCUUAUUUGGUAGAUGUAUUCUCAUUGAUUUUAUUAUUUUGUAGAUCUGUUCUUCCAAUAUUUCUCUUCCUUAGCGUAUGAUAAGCAAUGGUAUCUUCCUCAAGGAAUACCAGACCUUCAAAACCUACGAUAUGUACUCAAUCUCCAUUUAUAUAUACAUUCACUUACAAUAUUAUAUUUAUUUUUGUUCUCCUCAUCUUAUCUUACUUUUAUCAUUUUCUCUCUUUCUUUGUAGUUUGGUUCUUCCUUAUAAUAUUUAUGCAGGUUAAUUUUCUCUCCAUGCAUGUCUUAUUUUACUUACACAUUUUUUUAUUCAAAGAGUCACCAUUUCAAUUUUUUUGUUUUGCAUGUUUCAGAAACACCUAGAGUGUAUCCUCUCUAAAAUAAGGUAAGAAUCAUAGUUAGUUAUUGAUACCUCCAUUUUUUGUUUCAUGGUUAAUUAUUCAUUCACUAGUGGAUUUUGUAUUUUAUUUUCUCUAUUUGAUGAUGUUUAAUAUAUUUUUUGUUUAAUAUACUCAUUUUGGCACAAUAUUUGUGUUUUUGAAAAUUUUAUUUAAACAUCAUUACCUUAUUUUAUUGUUUGCUUAGAAAUUUGUAUUAUUUGGGUUGUAAAUAACACAAUAUAAUAUCUUUGUUCUUUGCUUUUAGAUUUUUUGGCAUUCUCAUAUGUGGAGAAGAAUAAUGUCUUUAUUUUAUUUGAUUUAAAUUAUUUAUGGUUUCCAAAUUUUAGGCAUUCCUUAUUAUGAAGAUAAAUUUCUAGAAAUAUAACUGAUGAAUUUUGAUUGUGAUAACCAAUUGAUUUGAUUUAUAUUUUGUUUAAAUUAUUUAUGAUUUCCAAAUUUUAAGCAUUGCCCAUUAUAGAUAUAAAUUGGUAGAAUUAUAACAUAUGAUUCAAAACUGAAGAAGAAAUAUAAUAGUUGGAAUUUUUUGUAUCACUUACAGAAAUAAUAUAUAAAUUUGUGGAUCAGUUACAAAAUAGAAAGAAUUAAUUAACAACAUAAACCAAGACAUACCAGAAAGAACAACUAAAUUGAGAAAUAUAUAAGGAAUCUUUGUAAUAAUUAUGGAAUAUAUAAUGUAAUUAAGGAGUAUAUAAAUAAUUAAUAAUUAUAUUUUACAAUCGCAAUAUUAUAAUAGUAGCAAUAAGAAAUAUAUUUUGUUUAAAUUAUUUAUGAUUUCCAAAUUCUCAUUAUGAAUAUAAAUUAGUAAAAUUAUAACAUAUAAUUCGAAACUCAUGAAGAAAUAGAGUAGCUGGAAUUUUUUGUAGCAGUUACAAAAUAGAAUAUAAAUUUGCGGAUCAGUUACAAAAUUAAAAGAAUCAAUUAACAACAUAAACCAAGACUUGUGAGAAAGAACAACUAAAUUAUGGAAUAUAUAAGGAAUCUUGGUAACAAUUAUGAAAUAUAUAAUGUAAUUAAGAAAUUUAUAAUUAUAUUUUACAAUUGCUAUAUUAUAAUAGUAAUAAUAUGAAAUAUAACAUAAACAAAAUAUUAAUGAUAGUAGAUUAAGAAGAUUAAAAAGGAAUCUUCAGAACAAUUAUGGAAUUAUGGAAUAUAUAAGGAAUAUUCGUAACAAUUAUGAAAUAUAUAACGUAAUGAAUGAAUAUGAACAAAUAUAUAACAAUGAUUGUGAGUGAUAAGGUGAUAGGAUGAUUAAGGUGAAAAAAUUUAAGAAAUGUAAUGAAGGAUGUUGUGGGUUCCAACCUCACUCAUAACAAAUUUAAGAAAAAAAAAAUAAGUUAUAAGGUAGUUUGAUGGUUAGGAUUGAAGCGAAGGAGAUUGAGAGUUCGAGCGUCGCCCAUAAAAAAUAUUAACAUCCUAACUAUUGCUGACAAAAACACGAUGAUUUUGUUUUAAUUAAAAAAUUAUAUUUUAAAGUUGUUAUGAAACUUUGAAAAAACAUUUUAAAAAUAGUAAAUGAAAUAUGUAGUAAUUAUACAUUUAAAUAGAUCUUAAAACAUUCUCAAAUAAUAUUAUUUAAUCAUUUUUUAAAACUUAAAUAGCAUGAAUCUAACUUAUUAGCAAUAGAAAUAAUAAACUAUUAUAUUACAAUUAAUAAGGAAGUUUGUUGUUAUUCUGUCUCACUAAAAACGAUAUGUAGUUAAUUUAAUUCUUGAAAAUAACAAUGUUUAGUAGUAAUUAUUCAAAAAGAUCUGAAAACAUUCUCAUUCAAUAUCAUUAAGGUAAUUAAUAUUAGGAAUCCAUUCGUAUUAUUAGUAGAAGGAACUAUGAUAUUACAAUUAAUGAGAAAAUUUGAUGAUAUUUAAUUUAUUUCAUAAAAUUAAUCAUUUUUAAUACUAAUUAAAAAGAAAACUUGAUAGUUCCCAAAUGCUUCUUUUCAUAUAUUAAGGAAUUAUUGAUAUUAAUUAUUAUGAUUUAGUUUCUACUUUAAAAUUAUGUAUCAAAGUUGUUAUGAACUUCGAAAAGAUAUUUUAAAUAUAGUAAAUAGAAUAUGUAGUAAUUACACAUUUAAAUAGAUUUUAAAAAGUUCUCAAUUAAUAUCAUUUAAUCAUUUUAUGUAUCAUCUAUCAUUCUUGUAGAUCAUUAAAAAUUCUUGUGAAAAAAUUGUACCGAAGAAAAUAUAUAAUCAAGACAAUGUUACAAUUUUAAAAUAUUAUAAUAAACUAUUAGUAAUUGUACAUAAUUGCUUCAACAAAAAAAUAUAAUAAUAUUGAUUUGUAUUAGUUAGAGUUAUAUUAUUUAUUUUUUCUUUACAAUUCUUAUAAUUAGGUCAUUACCUAUCUAAUGACAUAUACAUUUGUUAAUUUUGAUAAUCCAAUAAAUGUCAUGGUUCAAAAUACUUAUCCAAAUAUACAAGAUCACUAAAAAAUGAAGUUUUUAUAAACAAGAACAAUACUUGAAUCAACUAUUGAAAUUAUUGAUCAAAUAAAGGAGUAUGUUUUGAGUUUAAUUCCAAGUAAAAAUAUUUAUAAUCCAAUUCAAUCAAUUAUUAUAUUGUUGAUGCAAAUAUUUUUAAACUUAAUAAUAUUAUGUGAUGAAAAAAAAUUAACUCAUUUAUUUUUAAACUCAUUUACAAUUUUUGGUUUUCCAGAUCAUAACCAUGAUAUUGUAUAUAUUUAAACUUUGUCAAGUUGAAUAAUGAAAGACAUUGAAUUUUGAAGGAUAUAUCAUUUUAAGUUAUUUCUUAUAUUUAGAGAGACAAUCCAUAUGUAAUAUGUAUGUUCUUAACCAUGUGGCAAAAAAUACUAGAAGUGCAAAUGUACUAGUAACUCCCUAGUUAUAUGAAUAGAGAAGGUUCAACCUGUCUAGUCGGCCAACUAUUCCAAGACUUAAAUGUGCUAAAGCAUUCAUACGUAGGUCAUGCGAAGAACGUUAUGAGGCACAUGGAAUUAGGGCCAUUGUCAUCAAAUUGGUUAAGACAUGAUCUACUAAUUAAAUUGUAUAGAUACACAUAUAUUUAUAUCAUUUAUUAAAACAAAGUGUAGAACUUGGUGGUUGAUCGUAUUUUAAAAAUAUAAACAAAUUUAUUGGUUGUAUGUUUUAACUUCCACAACAACAUUUUGCUAAAAAUUAAGAUAAUUUUAUACUUUUUUUAUAAUUUUAAAUGAAAAUUAUUUGAUAUAACCAAUAUAAUUUAAAUUGAUACUGGUCAAUAUGACUAAUUUUAAUAAUAUUGAUCAGUUUGCAUGAUUACAUGAUUGAUGUCUCAUAUAAUUACGUUUUACUAUGUGGUAUAGUUGGCUAGUUAAAUGGGGUAAUACAGUCCGGUUUUUGUAAACAUGAUUCAAACUAUAGAAAAAGAUAUAUGCACUAGCCGUGAAUUUUAUGCACUGUCAUUGUAUCAUUUAUCAUUGAUAUUUAAUCAUUGUUAAUUUUUUUAAAAAAAGUAAUCCAAAUGAACGGUGGAUGAUGAAAUACAUGUGUAUGGAUUUUACACUGUCAGUUCAUAAAUUUUAUGCUCUUUCAAUUAUGCUAUUUUGCUUCGUAAGACCCUGAACAUCAUCCUGUUUAACCAUUAUGAUUAUUCGGUAUAAACUAUAGGUUCUAUCUUUUUUAUGACUUUUAAACUCAAUGCUAAACUAAAACGUGAACUUUUAAUUUAAUUAGUAACAAGCAAACAAACAUUUGGAGAUUGGUUUUUCUUUCUCAUAGGAACGCAGACAAGAUGACAAUUGACAAGGUAAGUUUUACUUACUAAGAACCAAAAAGAAGUUGAAGACUUGGAGUAAUGGAGAUCUUCCCCAUCCGUUCUUGUUAAAAGAGUUGAGACCUUAUAUGAAUUGAACUCUUUAUGCUACAACUGGCAAAGGGCACCUAAACAAUCCUGGUUACAAAAAAAAAGUACCUUGGGGCUCACUGUGGGACCCAAUGAACAAUAUGUUAGAGAAGGGCUUAGUUGGAGGCCAUGAUGAAUGAAUUAUUGAGAUCAUCUGUCUCAUACUCUCAUAUGAUGUCCCACUUGCUAUCUUGGACCAAUUAAAAUGUUGUUAAAUGAAUAAUUUUUUUUUAAAUACAAAAAGUAAUAAAAAAUAACAUUUUAAUUGAUUUGAAAUAGAAAAUAAUACAUCCUUUGAGAUAUGUGAUCUUCGUCCUCCUUCUCUUCCCUCAAAUGGUGCUUAUAAUUGGGGUUAGAGGGACUGACUCGAAACCUCUCAAGCUUUCACAUGCAUCAUGCCCACACAACCUGACCUACCACUUUUUCACCAAAUUAAGUUAUAUAUUUUUCCUUCAUUCUAUAUAUAUACGGUAUCUUCACUUGUUGGCCCCUAUGCCUUUUAGGUACCAUAUAUAUUAUAAUCCAUGAUUAAACAGUGGUAGUUUUUCAUACUUUAAAAAGUUCAAUUAUAUAAUUAUAUUUUGCCAUCAUAAACAUUACUCUCUAUUCUAAGAUAUACAAUUGCUUUCAGGAGUCAGCACGAUUCACAGCUCUUGUAUGUAGUGUUGUGUGUUAGGUGUUUUGUUUUAAUUUGUAGAAAUUAAUGAGUGUUUUUUUUGCCUGUGCUUCCCAAGAAAAGUAAAACCCAAUGAAUUUUAUAUUUAAAAAUUAAAAACAAUUAUACAAGAAGUUUGUACAUCAAAAUUUGACAAUUUUUUUAAAGAAUAAGGAGAAAAAAUAAAAAAUGGGUACCUUACAUUACUAGUGUAUACGUAUAACCUUGUUGACUGAAAAAGUUGUGUUAAAGGCCUCUCCAAACGCUAAGUUCAAAUUUUAUUUCACUGAACUAUUGUGUUUUCAUGAAUUAUGAAACUAGUUAGCUUUUAACCAAGUGAGUCACACCAGAUGUCAUUUUAUGGUGACUAAAUUGUGAAUUCUCUUCUUAUUUUUCAAAGAAAACACUUAUAUUUUUGUAAACUAUGAAGCAUUAAGGACACUUUAAUAUCUAUCUUUGUUGGAAGAUAUUCAUUCAUUAGAUAUAACAUUCAUUUAUGAGUUAAGUGAAAAAUCAUAAAAGUGAGUUUGACAUCAUAUCUUGACCCAAAACCUUCAGACAUUAAGUCUAUGAGUCCAUCCAUUUAUAUACUUCUUUACUCAUUCAUUUUUGCCAAUUCAUGUGAGACUUCUUCAUUCACACUUGAAAUAUUCAACAAUUUAACAUGUGUUUGUAUCCAAUGUGUAUUUGUUAUGGACACUCUUUGAUAUAUGUAUUUAUAUAGUAUUACAAUUAUUUUUUAAAUGAAUAAAUUAAAAUUUUGAUACUAUAUUUUUAAAAUGUUUUUUUCUGACAUCUUCAUAGACACUCAAACUAUUAUGCAUAAGUAAUAUGAAAUAGAUGACAGUACACAAUAAGUCCAGUAGAAGAGAUAUGCAACAUUCAAUCUAUCAAGUGAAAUAAUAAAAAGAAGACAAAAUAGGUACAUUGUAUAGAAAAUGAACAAGAAACACAUUUGAUUAUUAUUAUUAGGAGUUAAACGAGAUGGAUAUUUUUCAAGGCAAUAGGAAUGAUUUCUUAUCUUGAAACCAAAAAUCCCAAUUUUAAAUUUUUGGUAGGUAUGUACAACAUCCACAUAAAGUUCAUAGAAUUGGAUUCUUAAUUACUAUAGGACUUCUCACAAUGUGUUUGUGAUCAGUCCAGACCAAGCUUCCAUAGAAAUAAUCAUUAUUGGACUUUUUAAGUGUCUUCAACUUAAAUGUAACUCUAAAUUUUCUUUUUUCACCCUUGUGCUUGAACCUCAGGAUUUUAGGCUUAACAGAAACAACAACUUCUGGAGGUGCAUUGAUAUGCACUCUAUAUUUCCCCGGAGAGCCAACAUUAUUGGUAAGAGUACGUGUAACAUGUUGAGAAUGCCCAUGCACCAAGGGAGUAAUUGAGAUUGAUGGGUAAUUGAUAUUAGUUACUUGGAACGAUUUAGGACACGUGUAAGACUUGCCAUAGAACAACUGGAUCAUGGAACUAUUGUAGUGACGACCACACAAGAAGUUCAAAUAAUCAGUAGUUCUUAGGUUAUAUACAAGUCCAAGGUUUGUAGCAUGAUUAGGUUGGAUGACUCCUGUACUGUAUGCUAAUGGAGUUGCCCUAGCGAACAACCAUUCAUCUAGAACUGGCUCUCCAAUGUUAUAUUUUAUUCCAGCUGAAAAAUAGACGAAUUUUAUGUUCAGAGGGUAUAAGAAAUUGAAUAGCAUAAUCACAAGGGUAAAACUGUCAACAUUGAAUUAUGUUAUGAAAAAUUAGUUGUCUCAUGUACUGUCUCAUAUGUUGUCACGCGUCAAAUGAUAUUGAAACAAAAACAAUAAUAAUAAUAAAUGUUUAAAAUUUUUAAUUGACAAAUCAUAUUCUCAUUAGUGUAGGGAUAGUAUAUGAAAUAUGAUCUCAGAUUAUUUUCCUUUAUGUUUAGGAAUGUUUUAGGUUAUCGUUAUUUUAAAUUUUAUUGCCUAAUAUUCAUACUUCACUUCCCUAUGUCUUUCUACUCAAAACAAUGUCUUCAUAUAUACCUGUGGUCAUGAUUGCUGAUUUAAUUGCUGCUGGACUCCAAUCAGGAUGAAUUUCUUUGAGCAGCCCAGCAAGACCAGCAACAUGAGGAGUAGCCAUUGAUGUACCAGACAUAGUCAUAAAUGGAGUUCUGCGCUUAUCAUGUGGUCCUGGAGGUGCGCCUUCAGAAUAAGCAGCAAUGAUGUCAACUCCUGGUGCACUGAUAUCUCGCUGAAAUGCAAAAUAAAAAUUAAACUUCAGAUUUGAGAUCAAAGAAAGGGUAAUUCAUAACAAAAGAAACAAACCUUGAGGAUUGUUGGGCCAAAGUUACUAGGGCCUUGUCGCACCCAUUUUUUGGCUUGCAUGACUUUGUUUAGAGUCGUCACUCUUUUAAGCUCAAUUACCUUGGGCUUUUGGAUUUUUGAUAUCCAGGUUCGGGAGUCGGUUAUAAGGGAUGAAAGGUAUUAGCAUCCUACCCGUCCGCCUUAAGCGGUACCCUUCAUUAAAAUAUAUGACAUUAUUAUUAUUAUUAUUUAUUAAAUUGUAUGAUUAAUUACUUACUUAUUAUGAAAAAAAAUUAUUUAUUUUUAUUAUUGAGUCUGACAAUAUUGACUUUGGUCCUACGUAAUUAAAGGGAUCAAGGCUUACAUAGUUCUUUAAGUAGAAAAAUGUUUAUUGGUUGGCAAAUUUUAUUAAUGAAAAUACUUAUUUUUGUGUGUUAAUGAAAAAAGGUGUUUUGAUUAGUUGUUAAUUUAGUUGAAAAUGAUAUUUUUUUAUUGAUUUUGGGAAUUAAUCGAGUGAAAUGAAACAGCGUAGCGCAACCUUUAGAAGAUGAGUUGAGAAGAAAGAAGCCUACAAGGCGACCGUCUCUUUAUCUUUGAUUAAUUCCUAAAAUUCGAUGCACGGAGAAAGAUGCAAUACAAGUCAUAACCUUGUUACUGAAUCCCAUACGUGAUUAAAACAUAUUUUAAACAACGUAAAUAUUUUUUAUUGAGAAAAUUAAUAGGCGAAGAGCCAACAUUGACCACUUACCACCUUCCGGCUUCGAUAAAUAAUAGAGGCAAUGUUAGUGAUCGCAACCACUUCUCGACUCAAAGGGAAAGAAAGAUAUGACAUGAGUUAUCACCUCGCUAUCGAAUCUCAAUUAAAAUUAUUGAUUAAAAUACUUUAUUAUCCAUUAUUAAGUAAAACAAAUAAUUUUAAAAAUAUUGUUAUUAAUGAAAUCACUUUAAUCCCUUUACUUUUGUAAAUGAAUGAAAACAGUGGGUAGUCAUUUCUAAUUGAGAAAACAUACCUGAUAUUGAAACAAAUUAACUAAAAGGGCUUUAACCUUAUAGGCCACUUCACUACAUAGGUAAGAACCCUUAGGAGAAUAGGGAGCGAGUCUGAGCCUAAAUCGAUGUCCUUCAACUGAACAUAAAGAACCCUGACAAGUAUGUAUCCAAGGUGACUAGGAAAUGAGACAGAGUGUGAGAUUAGGUACAUCCAUGCAGCUUCUCUAAGCCAUGGUAACACGUCCAACAUGAAGGAGCUUGUAUCAUAUGGACCCCACAUUUUUUGUUUGGUUGAACCACAAGCUAUGUCCCAUGCACUCAUGUUAUGAACUGUUUGCUUUGUUGGAUACGCAUCUUGUAUGAGGAGUUUCUUUCGCCACUUGUGUUAACUUCAUGAUCGCUUGAUCAAAGACAUGCGGAAGUUGAGUGACUAAGGCAUGGAAUUGGCACCACUAAUUGUAAAAUGGUGUCUUCAACUUGCCCAACAUCAAAUCCAAACUAAUGAGUAUGCUCCUAAAGCAAAUCAUUGUGUCCAUUUUCUUUAGCAACCCAAAUUGUCUAAGAAAGUAAGGAUAACACCACGUGUUGAUCUCAUCUCCUCUUACAAAAUCUCUGUGAGAGGGGUCAUUGGUAGAGAGUGGAAUGCCACACCAAUGAAAUAAAAAACAUGAGAUUUCCCACUAGAUGUGCAACCCGAGCCACCAUUCAUAUUUUUUUUGCAACGUAGAAUGUACCCGACACCUUUUAAUAACUCUUCUCUUCACAACUUCAUGAUAUUCAUCUUGUAUUCUUUGUCUAAGAGAGGUUCCAGCAUGUUCAGCGGCACCCUUGUUAGUCAAGAAGGAAUUGGAACAUUUUAACCCUUUAUAAAGGACAUUAAUCCAUAUAAAACCACCAGAUGUGUUGAGAGUGAGGGACGCUGUUAAUGAAAUUGGUUGGGAUAACCAGCAUGCGACGAUUAAUAUCGGUUGGUCAUGAGAAAUUGAGGCCUUCGGUGUACUAUUCGGAAUAGUCCCAUUCUUCAUUAUCUCCCAACACCCAACCUGGUUAUCUCAUGAAGAAGCUAUAAAGAAAUUGGUUUUGGUCAAGACAACAUUGGGUUGUCGAGAUCCUCUACUUAGGAACGUGUUGGUAGUUGUGAGAUGAAACAACAACCUUGGGUUUAUUGAAUGCCCUCAUGUGUAGAGAAUCAUCUUCUUAAAUGAAUCCACCAAGUUCAAAUAAACAACAACUGAUUUUGCAUAUAUUCCAAAAUUAGACCUUGAAGAAGUUGAGAAUGUUAUGUGAUUGCAAUGGUUUGUUUUUUAGGUUGUUGGAAAAUAGAUUUUAAUUAUAAGAUGUGGUGAUAUAGAGAGACGUAGGUAUGUGAGGAAAGUGACUCUGAGGCUGUGCUAUGGGGAGAGAGAAUAGACACUUUUUUCUAAUUACUUCCCUCUCUCCCUUCUAUAGUGUUCUCUCUCUAACCUAAAAAACCAUAAACCACUCCCUCUAAAAAUUAGUUAACUUCUCUCCAUCAUCCCAUUUAUCUUUCAUCUUUUUUAAUCAAUGUGUAACCACUACUUAGUGGAAAAACCCCUCAACCCACUUCUGCUCUAAAUGUGAGAAUCUCUUUCCACUCUCUUAAUCUAGUUAACAACCAGAUUCAUUUUCCACUUUUUGUUUUAUUAUUUACCUAUUUUUGAAUUAAAUUAAAAAAAUUAUUUUUUAAUAAUAUAUAUUAAAAAAACUGGUGUUGGACCUUUUAGGAGUCGAACAAAAAUAGGUGUUCACACACCUCUUAAUGAAAAUGAAGUUAUUAUUGGAGCCAGCUUUAAACGUAAAUUUGUUUUCACUAUAGAAAUGUGAGCGGGAGACCUACAUCAAAUAUGAACAAUAUAUCAUGUUAUUUUUUGUACGGAUAAGCCUGGUUUUGGCUUCAAAGUAUGAAGAAUUUAAUAACCUCAAGCACGAGGAAGAAAAUUUACUUGGUGUGGUUGACGUAAGUUAAAAUAUAUUUGCCAUCCGUAAAGUUAACAUGUGUAGCAGGAAGCACAUGAGUUUCAGGUAAAACUUCAAACCAUGAAUAAUCAUUAAUCAAAAUCAUUCCAACACCUCCAACACGAGCAAUUAGUAUUUUUAGCAUUGACCAAUGAAUAUAACUUAUCAGAUGGUAAGCCAAACUCAGAAAGACUUAAUCCCUAACAAUAAAUAAACAAAUGAAGUUUUAGAAUAUUAGAUAUUAUAUGAGUCUCUCGAGGCUUUUAAUGUAUAUACUAGGGUAUUGCAAAUCCUAAUAUUAAAACUUAAUAUAACAAUAGGAAACUAAACUCCAUUAUUUAAGAAAUUGAAAAUAGCCCCUAUAGAAAAUGAAGAUUGAUGUGAGUGAGUGAUUAUUGAGAUACCUCUUCUUUUAAAGUGAAUUAGAUAAGUUAUAUGCAAUUAUGAGUUUAUAUGUCAAAGCAUUGCUUAAGGGUAUUGUCAAAGCAGAAAUUUCUGGGUAAGGAAAAAAAGAUUGCAUUUUCGUAUUUUUGUUUAGCAGUGUGGUGUGUAAAGAUGCAGCACAAAUCCUUUAACAAGUUGUGGUGGGUGGGUUUCUGGUUAUAGAUUACAAAUACACAAUUAAUUUGUUCUAUGUGUUUCAGUGUAUAUAUAUGCGGAAUGGAAUCUCUCCAAACGCUAAGUUCAAAUUUUAUUUCAAUGAACAAUUGUGUUUUGAUGAUUUAUGAAACUAGUUAACUUUUAACCAAGUGAGUCACACCAGAUGUCAUCUUUGUGGUGACUUGUGUCAAUUCUCUUCUUAAUUUUCAAAGAGAACACUUAUUUGUAAAUUAUGAUGAAGUAAGGAUGCUUCAAUAUCUUACAUGUACUUGUAUCCAAUGUGUAUUUGAUAUGGACAUUCUUUGAUAUAUGCAUUUAUAAAGUAUAGCAAUUACUUUUUAAAGGAAUAAAUUAAAAUUUUGAUACUGUAUUUUUAAAAUAUUUUUAUGAUACCUCUUUGACUCUCAAACUAUCAAGCAUAAGCAAUAUAAAAUUGAUAACACACAAUAAGUCAAGUAGAAGAGAUGGGUAACAUUCAUUCUACCAAGUGAAAUAAUAGAAAGAAGACAAAAUAUGUACAUUGCACAGAUAAUGAAGAAGAAAUACAUUUGAUCAUUAUGAUCAAGAUUUAAACGAGAUUGAUAAGUCAAUAAGGAAUGAUUUCUUAUCCUGAAACCAAAAGGCACAACUCUAAAUUGUUUAUAGGUGUGUACAACAUUCUCAUAAAGUUUAUAGAAUUGGAUUCUUAACUACUAUAGGACUUCUGACAAUGUGCUUGUGAUUAGUCCAGACCAAGCUCCCAUAGAAAUAAUCAGCCUUGGACUUUUUAAGUGGCCUCAAUGUAAAUGUAACUGUGAAUUUUCUUUUUUCACCCUUAUGCUUAAAUCUCAGGAUUUUAGGUUUAACUGAAACAAUAACUUCUCGAGGUGCAUUGAUGUGUACUCUAUAUUUCGCCGGAGAACCAACAUUAGUAAGAGUACGACUAACAUUUUGAGAAUACCCAUGCACUAAGUGAUUAAUUGAGAUUGAUGGGUAAUUGAAAUCAGCUAUAUUGAAUGACUCAGGACACGUGUAAGACUUCCCAUAGAACAACUGAAUCAUAGAACUGUUGUAAUGACGGCCACACAAGAAGUUCAAAUAAUCAGUAGUUCUUAUGUCAUAUACAAGUCCAGGGUCUGCUGCAUGAUUAGGUUGAAUGACCCCUGCACCAUAGGCUAAUGGAGUUGCCCUAUCUAACAACCAUUCAUCCAAAACUGGCUCCCCGCUGUUAUCUUUUAUUCUAGCUGAAAAAGAUAUGAAUUUUAUUUUAGAGGGUAUAUAAGAAAUUGAAUGCCAUAAUCACAAGUGUAAAACUGUCUACAUUAAUAUUUAAACAUGGAUUUAUUGUCUCAUAUUUUUCUCAUACAUUGUUACAUGUUAAUGAUAAUGAAGCAAAAACAAUAAUAAUAAUAAUGAAUUAUUAAAAAAUUUAAUUGAUGUAUCAUAUUUUAAUUAAUUUGGGGACAAUGUAUGAAAUUUCAUCUUGGACAACAACAUAUCUAUAUUACUUUAUGUUUAGUAACGUUUUAGCUUAUCGUUAUUUUAAACUUCAUGGCCUAAUUCAUACUUCACUCGCCUAGGUCUUUCUACUCAAAACAAUAUCUCCAUAUAUACCUGUGGUCAUGAUUGCUGAUUUAAUAGCUGCUGGACUCCAAUCAGGAUGAAUUGCUUUGAGCAACCCAGCAAGGCCAGCAACAUGAGGAGUAGCCAUUGAUGUACCAAACAUAGUCAUAAACGGAGUUCUGCGCUUAUCAUGUGGUCCUGGAGGUACGGCUUCCGAAUAAGCAGCAAUGAUGUCAACUCCAGGUGCAGUGAUAUCAGGCUGAAAUGCAAAACAAAAGUUACACUUACCUCAUUACUUGAGAUUUAAGAUCAAAUAAAGGGUAUUAACAAAUGAAAUAAACCUUGAGGAUUGUUGGGUCAAUGCUGCUGGGCCCUCUAGAUGAAAAUGAAGCUAUUAUUGGAUCUGGUCUUAUACCUAAAUUUGUGUUCACUCUAGAGAUGUGAGCCAAAGGAGACCUACAUGAAAUAUGUACAAUAUAUAAUGUUAUUUUUUGUAUAAAUAUGCCUGAUUUUGGCAAAUUAGGAAGAAUUUAAAAUCCUCAAGCACGGAGAAGAACAAUUACUUAGUGUGGUUGAUGUAAGUUAAAAUGUAUCUGCCAUUCGUAAAGUUAACAUAUGUAGCAGGAAGCACAUGAGUGUCAGAAAAAACAUCAAACGAUGAAUCAUCGUUAAUCAAAAUCAUCCCAACACCUCCUACACGAGCAACUUCCACGCCUUGGCUGAUUGGUUCACCAUCAUAUCUAUGACAGACCAAUAUUUUUCCAUUGCCUUUGUUAUGAUCAAGAGUUCCAUUUUUGCAAUAAAGGCUACAAUAAUGGAUAAGAUGAUAUGAGAAUAUCCACAAAAUAAUAAUUAUUCAAUAAGGUGUUAUUGUUAUAAUUAUUCUUACGCAUCUGUAGCAUUUGCGUUAUGAGCUUUAGCAUUUUCAGCAUUGACCAACGGGUAUAAUUUAUCAGAUGGUAAGCCAAACUCAGAAAGACUUAAUCCCUAACAAUAAAUAAACAAAUGAAGUGUUAGAAUAUUAGAUGUUAUAUGAGCCUCUCAAGGCUUCUGAUGUAUAUACUAGGGUAUUUCAAAUCUUAAUGUUAAAACUUAAUGUAAAACAGGAAAACCAAACUCCAUUAUUUCAACAACUGAAAAUCGCCCAUAUAGAAAAUGCAGAUUGAUGAGUGAAUGAUUAUAGAUAUACUCAUAUACAUCUUUUAAGGUGAAUUAGAUAAAUUAUCUGCAACUAUGAGUUUAUAUAUCACUUGGUUGUCGAUUUUUGUUAUACAAAUAAUAGAGCUCUAACUUCUAACAACAAAGAUAAAAUGUAAUACACAAUAUACCUUGAGGACUUUGUUGUUACCAAGCUUAACAUAAUUAGCGAACUCUCUAUCAAUUGUGCUAGCAGCAACUGUGAACGUCCAUGGUUCCACAUUCGAAACUGUUGUAGGAUUUGGUCCUUCAUUUCCUGCGGCACUCACUACAAUUAUGCCAUUUGCAACAGCAUGAAAUGACCCUAUGGAGACACCACUUUGAAAAAAUUCGGUGUUUUCUCCACUCAAUGAUGCCGAAAUCACAUCAACUCCAUCACUUAUGGCAGCAUCAAAAGCAGCUAAAAUGUCUUCAUCAUAACAAUAACUAUUUUGUGCCCAACACACCUUAUAGGUCGCAACAUGGGAUUUCGGUGCACCACCAUGUGCAGUUCCAUUGCCAUUCCCAAAUACACUUGCUCCAUCAACGAAAUUACCACCCGCAGUUGAUAAAGUAUGUGAACCAUGACCACUAUCGUCACGUGCAGUAUUAAAUAUAGCAUUUUUAUGACGUGCUUGGUAUCCUUUGUAAAAACGUUUUGCUCCAAUAAGCUUCCUAUAUUUUACAAAUCAAAUAGGGCCACCACCAUAGAAAUAAUCAAUGGGAAAGGUUCUUUGUAAAAAUAUAUCAUAUUUUUUGUUGGAAAAAUUAGAGUUUAUAAAGAGAAUGGAGAGAACUGCAAAUGAUAUAAUACUUUUUGUUAGAAAAAUGAGAUCUUAUAAAGAUAAUAAAAGAACCAAAGUAUGAAAUUUGACUCAUACAAUAGUGUAACUACCAUCUGACCAAUUUUGUGACUAACUCUUAUUUCUAGCUAUCUCUAGAGGCCUAUCAAAGUUUUAAGUAGAUAGCUGUUUGUUUUAUUUCAUAAAAGUAAUGAGGACAAAAUAAGAGAUAGAAAUGGAGUGAUUCUGAUGGAUUUGUCGCUUAUAUUCAUUUUGUAUUUCAAUCCAAUUAAAAAGUGAUACUUUAUUAAAAAGUAUUAUAAAAUUAUAAAUUAAUAUUUUUAUAUUAUUUUAUGAAGUUUGAUUGUGAGAGUGCAAAGUGUCAAAGAUUACAUUAGCAACGUUUGCUUAUGUUUUGAUGAAGACAAUGAAUUAGCUAAAGCUUGAAGAUGGUUCAACAAUCAACAUGCCGAAGGCUCAAGUGGUGUCUUUUUAGACUUAUGUUAUAAUUCUUUAUUAUCUUUUUAGAAGUCUAAGAUGCUUGCCAUAGAUACUGAGUCUAGGUUAGGUAAACCUAGGUGUGAGUCUCACAAGACUUAAUAAAGUAAUUAAUCAAUUAAANNNNNNNNNNNNNNNNNNNNNNNNNNNNNNNNNNNNNNNNNNNNNNNNNNNNNNNNNNNNNNNNNNNNNNNNNNNNNNNNNNNNNNNNNNNNNNNNNNNNCAUAAGUGUUUUUCUGCUGUUUUAACAGCAUAACUGAAAAACCGUUUUUGAGAGCCAAAUUUUGUUUUGUAUAAAUACUGGCUUAAUUGCAUAAACGGUUAUGUAGAAAAAGAGAGAAAAACACAAAGAAAAAGAUAUAGAUCAUCAUUGUUAGAAUCUAUUAAGAAAGUGUUGAAUUAGGAGAAAGUUUAGAUCAUGCUAAGGCUUUUAGAUUUCAUAUUCAUUGCAUGUUUCUUUGAAAAGUUUUCUUGCAUAUUCUUGUGUUUUCUUGAAAGAAAAAGAUAUAGAUCUUUUUUAUUACAUAUUUUCAUAAACCUCGUGCAUGAACAUUAAUAUUAGACUAGGACGUCUUGUGAAGUUCUUGCUUAUGUUUUAGGCUUUGGUUUUCAUUGUAAUAUCUAAGUAUUAAGUACUCAUUCAUAACUCAAAGCAUUGUUAGAGGAUUGGGAAAAUCCUAGCUGCGGUUAGGUAAGGUGUUCUUCACAAAAAGACUUGAGAUCUUGGGAUAAAGAGCGAUACCUUGGCUAUGGCCAAAUCGCAUAAGAAAGGUUUUCUUGGGAGGCGGUUUUGGGAAAGGUCAAAUCAAGGGUGUCGAAGUUCUUUGGGUUCCAAGAAGGGAGCGUUCAAGUUAAACUUGACACCGAACCUGGAUCAUCUUCCUUCAUACAUCAUUACUCUAGGAAUGGAGAAUGAUGCAUGAAUUGCUUUUACAUAGAACAUAGUGCUAGUUAAUUGGUCAGAUAUCCAAUGAAUUGUUAUUUGAGCAAUUAUCUAAAGAUUUUACACUCAAGAGAUUGAUUUGAAUGAUAUGUGCAUCUGAAUCAGUAACUUCAUAAUUCACUUGGAAUUGAAUUCAUGGAUAUCAUUGGGAAAUAACGAUGCAUUUUGAUCCCAAUUUAUUUUACUUGUUUUUUAUUCAAUUUAUGAGUUUUUACAAUUAAACAUAAAAUUUUAUACAAACAUCAUUGCAAAUAUAUACUUAGUUCAUUCUUGUAUGAAUUAGUGUAAAUUCACUCUGCUCCCUGAGGACGAUACCCCCGUACUUUAUUGGAAUUUAUUACUUGUACGAUACGAUGCACUUGUCGUUCCGUAAAUAUCUAACAAUGCCUUCACAGACGUGGCCUUCUCGAUGUAAAACCAUGUGAAAUCAUCACCUGUGUGGUGGGAGUAUAUAACACUGAUGAGAUUAUCAAAUUCUCUCUUCUUUCAUUAACCUCCUCCAUUAAUGUGGUGAGAUAUGACUUCCGUUAAAAUUUGGGGAAGAGAAAGAGAGGGUAAAGUGUUUGUCUUUUCAAAGGCUUGGUUUUUGUCAGACAUAUAUAACUUUUAAGAUUUUGUGACCGUAGGAUGAUUUUAGGGAAGAAGAAGGAGAGAAUGGUUAAAACUUAAAAAAAAUAUUCAUAACUUGCUUUAAUUUAAAAUUAAAUAAAUUUAUUUUGAAAAUCUUGGCACUCGAUUAUAAAAUUUUGUAAUUGGAAGCUUGUAUACAUACAUUCUGUUCCAUAGUGAAGAAGGAAAAUCUUCCAAAUCAGAGGGGAAGACUGGAUGUGGUUUUGCAGUGGACAACAAAAUGAACCAGGAUAAAAUCUUUGCGCAAUCUUUUCUAUCAUUUUCUCUUUUAUGUUUCAAUAUGUUUUAAUGCGAGUUUGGUGCUAAUAUUUUGAAUACUUGUUCUUUGCUAUGUUCUUGUUAAUAUUGCACAAAAGUAUCUGUUGUAUAUCUGUUUGUGUGUUUGUUAAUAACCGUGCAAGUUGUUGUUAUGAUCAUUCUGUUUAUGUUACUGGUUAAUCGAUUAAGACCAAUUGUUAAUCGAUUAACUUGGCAUUUUUCAGCAAGUGUGUAAAAACCAGAAAAGUGAAAAUUGAGUUCCGCCACACCUAUUCAACCCCUUCUAGGUGUAUUCCACCACUAAUACUUAACAGAUUGGCUAAAAAUGUGGGGACAUGAAUAUUUUGAAACAAGAAAUUUAUGUUCAAAAAUUUUAAUGCACAUAACACACAAAUAAAAAAAAGAGUUGAUAUUAGCAAGGUUGAGAAGAAUGAACCUAUUGCAGUGAAAAUUUUCACUGUCACAGCUUCCACGCCACUUUAUGGGGACAGGUCCAAUCCCUUCAUCACUAAAACUCUUUGAUUCAGGCCAAACACCUAUCACCCUCAGCAUCAAUUAAAAAAUAGAGUUAGAGCUUUGUAUGAUUUCUAUAUAUAAAAAAGAAAGAAUCAAUAGAAGAAGCAUUACUGACAUAUAUUAAGUAUUAGCAAGAGCAAAAAAAUAAGUUAACAAAAAUCUUAUUGAUGAUCAGACUUGGGUUGAGCAAAGUGAUAUAAUUUUUAAGACCCAAACUAAUCAAACCUAUCAUUGUUGGAUUGGUUUAGAACUUUUGACGUAAUUGACUUUAUUUUUCACUUAUCUUUCCUUAUUUCUACUUUUAGAUUUUAUCUUUGUUUUAAAACUGUUUUAGUUUUACAUUUUAAUGUUUAAUCAAGAAAUAAUUUUCACUUCUUACUCCUAUUAAAUCAUUUUCACUUUUUACUCUUAUUAAAUAAUUACUUAAUUUCUUUCUAUCGUUAAUCAAUUAAAGAAUUAUGUCUCUACAAUGUAAUUUUAGAAAAAAUAUCAUAGAAUAACAACGAAAUUAAUAAUUUCUUAAUAUGCCUGUCAAUAUCUUAAGUCAAACUAAAUUAUAUAUACAUAUAUAUAAUAAAAUGAUUUUAAAGUGAUUCAAUAUUUGAUUGAUUUGGAAAAAGUUUGAUACAUUAAAUAUUUGCAUAAUAAAGUCUAAUUGAGUAAGAUGAUCUCAAUAUUUACCAUGUUCAAUGUUAUAGAUCAAAUACACAUUAUCAAAAUAUAUAUUAGAGGAGUUGCUGAUAUUUUAUUAGUUAAUUUGGUCUCCACUAAUUGAGUCAUAUAACCAAAAUAAUAGCAUAUUAGAUAGUUCAAAUCAUGUCUAAUACUUAGGCUGAUCACAAUCAAGAAUAAAAAUAAAUACUUCCUCCUUUCAUUACCACUGUCCAAAUUUGCAAUAAUGACAUCUUCACCCAAUGUCUUCUUCCAUAUUGAGUCAUGUGAAAUUACACCAUUUUUAUGUAUUCCAAGAAAAUCCCAUGAGUGGGUUGUGCGCAAUUUUCGUCUUUUGCUUUCAAAAACAGAUACUACACUCGGAUGCUCUGCGUUAACACAAAAAACAAUGGUAUGAAAACUGAAGUGAGUGUUGGUAUGCAACAAUGCAUUAUGCAAAAGAUAAAUUUAGAAAGAUACAUGAAUUUGAAUUACAUACUUGCAACCAUAGCUGCUUCAUCUUCAUCAAGUAGUGCAGCAAAGCCAUUUAUAUGCCUAUUAUAAGAGUAAAAGAUUGCAUCUUUGGCGUUUUGGGUGCUGUGCAAGAAAACACAUCUCAUUAGUCCAAGAUAUAUUUAAUUCUGCCACCACAGAAUUUCAUGGACGAUGUGUUAAAUUGUAUACCUUCCAACAAAUGAUCCAAGUAAAUCAUAGUGAAAGUCGGUAACAGAUUCAACAUCUUGUUGGGAAGGAUUUUGGCCAAAAGAAUGUGAUCCUAAAUAUACAAUAUAGGGCUAAAAAACAAAACAUGGGUAUUACUAGGAUAUGUUUAAACAUUCAAAUAUGAAAAUUAAAAAUAGAGAAAUAAUAAGCUUUCCAAUGUUACAAAAAAUUGCCAGAGAGCUUGCCUUUUUUAUUGCUAGGGUUGGUUCCUGUAGCACAAAGCAAAGAAGAAGCGAUAAUAAGACAUGAUAAAUAGAUGAAGACAUUGUUUUUUCUCACUAAUUAAAUUUGUUUACAAAAUAAAUUUCACAUACGUUGUGCAAAUGGGUUCUUCUUUCCCUAACUUAUAUAGGACUCGUGUGUUAUGCUCCGAGACCAAAAAUCCAUGCUAACAGUGCAAUUAACAAAUUCUAAAUUUUACUGUGUGGGUAUCCAUUUUUGUUAUGCCCAUAAAAAUGCUAAAACUUUUUUAACAUCAAAAUAAUUUUUCAAAAAAGUAUAUAUCUUUAUUUGUGAAAAUAAAUUAAUUAAAAAUGAAUAUGAAAAGGUUCUAAAAACUCACCCCUUACAUAUGUUUAAAAUUAAAAUAGUUUCUAGAAGUUCAUCCUUUUAUUUUUCAUUUUCAAGAUACAUAGAUAAAAAAUGGAUCACUUUAUUGCAUCAUUUAUUUAAUAAAAAAAAUCUGAAUUUUUAAUGUAAAAUGAAUAAAUAUUAGCCAAAAUCUAAUUUUAUUGAUUUUAUAUGUUAAUUUUCUUUUCGUAAAAAGCAAACCAAUAUUCUUAAGAUAAAUAUCUUAUAUUCCUUUUGAUUUUUCAAAAUAAAAGCAAAAAUGAGAAAAGUUGUUAGGAUAUUAAUAGUAAAAGUAAGCAACAAUCUUUAUUUAUGGGUCAAAUGAGUUUGUAUUUUUUACCAAUAUUAUUUAUUUUUACUAUAAAUAAGCACUUAGGCUAUUAGGUUAAACACCACAAAAAUCCAGUGCGGGCAAGCACACGGUUAAGUAUCAUACUCUCGUUUCCAGCCAACAUCACCAUCUGAUUGAUCCAUUUAUUCAACAUUAUUUACUUUGACUAUGUGGCGUAGUAUAUACAAUUUUAAUAGUCUGAAUGUGUUUCGUCAUAGUGGAUAUGUGGCUCCUUGUUAGCAUUGAAUUCCUUGUGGUCGAUUGCAUAAUUGAACAUUGUUCAACCCCUUCAUCCAACCAAUCCAGGACUAACACAAGGCCAACCCAGUUUCAACCCCCAAUUAUGUAUUUUCUUUAUUUUCCCUUUAUUAUUUUCUAUUUUAUUUAUUUCUACUUAAUUAUAAACCAUAAUUACUUAAUAAACAGUAUAAUUUAACAAACAAAAUUUUCAUUAAUAAUAUUAAACAGAAUUUCAACAAAAAUACUAAUAACUAACUAUACUAAUAUUUUAAAGGAUAAUUCAUAACAAACAUACAUAUAAUCCUUUUUCCUAACAACUAAUUAACAAACUUUUUUUAGUAAGUAAUUUUUUUAUACAAACAAUCAGAAUUCUUACUAUAAUUAAAUUAAUCAAAUUAGUUGCUUUAUAAAAUAUUUUCAUUGACAAUCUUCAUUAUAGUCAUUGAUUAAACAUAUAACUUUUUAUUAUAGUUUUUGAUUAAAAAUAUAACUUUUUGGGAUUAAUCAAAGAUAGAGAAGGAUCAUAAUAUCACUUAUCAUCCUCAUCUCAUUUUUAAAUAAUUAUGUUGCGAAACUUCUAUUCUCUUUAUUUAAUUCCUAAUCAAAAAUAAAAUAUUUUUCUUAAUUAAAUUAAUAAUACAAUAAAAACCCACUUUUCUCCAAUAAAUAUCAAAAUUAAAUAAAUAUAUUGUCAUGAAAAAUAUAAAAAUGGCUAAUUACAUUAAAGAUGGAAGGAGGGUUGUCAAUGAUGGAUUACUUGCCUCAACUCAUCAUUUAGACAGUCGCGAUAUAUCGCUUCAGCUCCUAAUUAAAACACUUGAACUAAACCAAUUCGAUAAAUACGUAGUACUGAUUCACUAUUGUUUAUAGGGAUACGUAGGAGUAAGAUUCAAUUUAUUAGACACAUCAUAAAAAUAAAUAAAUUUAUUCAUUUUUCAAUAAUUAAUUAAAUAACCAAAUAACAAUAUUAUAUAAAAUAAGUCAUCCAAUUUAGUGAGGGUACCAUUUAAAAUGAGCGUAUAGGAUGCUAAUACCAUAUCUACUCUAUAACCUACUCCUAAAUCCAAAUAUCAAAAUCCAAAGUUCAAUGUGAUUGGACUAAAAGAUUUUUCCAUACUUUUUAUCAUAAAAAAUAUAGUGUUAACUCUAAUAAAGUCGUGUAGCCGAAAAUCAACACAUUAUACUUAGGGCUGGAAACGAGCCAAACUCAGUCGAAGAAGAGCUCAGUUUAAUCCAGCUCGAUAAGGAUUUUCUAAGCUCAAAACACUAUUGAAGUUCGAUACAAGUUAUUUUUCUAGAUCGAUUUUAAUUCGAUUAAAGUUCACGGUCCGUUCAACUCAAAAUCGUCCAUUUGAACAAUUUAAAUAAUUAAUUCAUUUUUAAAAAAAAUAUUGUAAACAAUUAUAUAUAUAUAUAUAUAUAAAUAACAAUAAUAAACAUAAAAAUAAUGUGAAGUCAUGGUAUAUAUAUAUAUAUAUAUUUAAAUAUAAUAUUUAUAUAUUAUAAAUAUAAAUAUAAUAUAUAUAAUAUAUAAAUAAAUCAUAUAUAAAUGUAAUAUAUAUAUAUAUAUAUAUAUAUANNNNNNNNNNNNNNNNNNNNNNNNNNNNNNNNNNNNNNNNNNNNNNNNNNNNNNNNNNNNNNNNNNNNNNNNNNNNNNNNNNNNNNNNNNNNNNNNNNNNUAUGUGUACCUAUGUAUAUAUAAAUAUAGUACAUGAGGUUUGCUAACCUGACUCAAAUUAUUUUCAUGAAUAACCAUAUUAGCAUUGUAUACUCAAAUAUUUAGAUCAAAAAAUCAUAUUUCAUUUUAUUCACACAACUCUAUUUCAAGAGUAUUUUAGUUAAUUUACGUUAUAUUAUUUUUAAAAUAUUUAUUGCAUUCUCUCUCUCCGUAUUUAAUCUCAUUUUUCAAUUACUUCACUUUUCUUCUUCAAAUUCUACUCACCUCUUUUCUCAUAAAGCAAUUUUUCAUUUUGAUUUGUAAGAUAACUUACUUUUUUAGUUUCAAACCUUUUGCUAAAAAAAUUAUAUUCAAACAUUAUUUUAUAGAAAAGUCUAACUUAAUAUUUUAUAUAGUUAAAUUUAAUGUCUAUAUUAGUACUUUAAUUUAAUAAUAUUAUUGGUAAUUAAUUAAAUAAUAUAUUCCUAAUCAUGUAAAAAGUUGAAAAAAGUCAAAAAAGGAAAAAUAUUGUUAAUGCUCCAUAAUUAUUAUUCUCAGUUUACAAAUAUUUAAUCUCAUAUUUCAUAACAAAAUAUAAUUGAUGCAUUUAAUUAUUUGCAUACGUUUUCUCAGGAUGAGUAUAAAGAAUGUAGAUGAAGAUUGAUUUUAAAAAAUGAAAUGUGACAAUGCAACUUUAAUAUAUUUUCUCUCUUCGUCAAUAAUCAGGCAUAAUUAAAAUGUGCAAUUUUCAAUCGGGACAAAGAGAUAAUAUUUUAUGGAAAAAAAACAUGUUAUCGUUAAAUAUAGACAAUGAAUGAUGAUUAUUUUGUGAAAAUUUUGUAGCAAAAGUUUGAAAGUAAAAAUGCAAGUUAUCUUAAAAAGCAAAAUGAAAUGUUGCUUUAUAAGAAAGGAGAUGAGUAGCAUUUUGAAGAAGAAGAAAAGUGAAGUAAUGGAGAAGUGAGACCAAAUAUGAAGAGAGAAUACGUAAUAAAUGUUUUAAAAACAAUAUAAUGUAAAUUAACUAAACUACCUUUGAAAUGGAAUUGUGUGAAUAAAAUGAAAUCCGGCUAUGGGAUUUACUAACUUGGAUAAAGAGAUUCUUUAGUCGGAGUAAGUUAGCAUUAGGGAUGACAAAAAACCUGAUUCAUGGAUACUCGUGAAAAUGCUCACAAUAUGUAUUCAUAAUAAUAGCUUAUGAGUUAGAACGAGUUUUAUGAUAUCCGCCUUGCAGGUUCCGCAAAUUUAUAUUUAAUUUUUAAUUAAAUUUAUAUAUAUAUUUAUUAUUAUUUUAAGAUUAUAUAUCAUAUACUUUAUUAUUAUUAUUUCAUAAAAAAUUACACAUAUUUGAUUAUGAUCAUAAAUUUAUCAUAUAAAUAUCAUAUUAUUCAUGUAAUAAUUAUUUUUACAUAUUGAUUAUUACAAUGUAUAUAAGUAUAUAAUUAAAAUUAAAAUUUUGUUGGAUACAUGUAAAUAUUAUAGGAUUAGCAUUAUGCACCAAGACUUUUGGACAAAACUAAACUUCUUAUUUUAGUUGUAAUAGGUUUAGUAAUUAAAGUAUUUUUAUAAUUUCCAUUUUACAAAAAGAAUUGAGUUCACUCAUCCUAACCCUAUUUCCCUCCCCCAUUAACCUUAUCUCAAACAGUUUGGAUCCUGUCAUGUAAUGGAGAGACCAAUACCAGUAUUGGAUUGUGACACAUGACAAUAUUAUAAUUAAGGGUCAAGAUUUUCAAAUGAAUUUUUCAAUUUUAAAUUAAAAUAUUAUGGAAAAUGUUUCUAACCUUUCUCUUCCUCUUCUCCAAAAUCACCUACCACAAAAAACCUUGAAGUUCUCUAUCCUCCAUUAACCUCAUUGAUGUAUGAUAAGUGCCAAAUUGUUAAACAAAAUCAUAUGUUUUGGGGCACUUAGUGCACAUUUAUGAUGUAACUGUGUAAGAUUCCUGAUAACUUAAUAAUCUUGUCCUGUGUAGGAUAUUUUAUAUGUUUAUGUUAUCUCAAGAUAUGAUUUAAGAAAAAAAGGAGAAAAAUAUGAAGAUUGGUACUUCUGAGCACCGCAAGCCUCGCCCAAGCGAGGAGAGGGUCGCCCAAGCCACAAAUAGGAGAAAAAUCACCAGAUAUCAUUGUUGUCAUUCGCCCAAGCGAGGGAAUGUCGCCCAAGCGACAAUUGGACCAAAAAAGGACCUGAUGUUAGGCCUGGUCCUCACCCAAGCGAGAUGCUCAGGUCUGAAAUCCUCUUAUUUACUCGUCCAAGCGAGAAUCUCUAGCUUGGGCGAGGGCUUGGAAGUUGGAACUGAUAUUGGCGGUUUUCAGAAGUCAGAAAGGAGGCUAUUCACUUUUCAGAACACAUUCAGCACGAAAAUAGAGAGAAAAACAAACGGAUUAUGAUAGAAAUCGUGGAAACGAUUCCACUUCACAUUAUUCCUUGUAUAAUUUCAUGAUUUGAGUGUUGUAAUAGCGAGAAGGAGUGAUUAGAUACUGUUGAGGGAUUCGAAAUGUAAUAUUCAAUCCUUUGUACUCCUGGAUUCGAUUCCAUUGUAAUUGUUAUUUGAUUUUGGGAAGUUAAUCUCGUUCUUAAUGCAUAAAUUUAAUUUGCUACUAAUUUCUUGUUCUUGGGUUCAAGUUUAAUUGGGAAGUUAAACUUGACACCGAACCUGGAUCAUCUUCCUUCAUACAUCAUUACUCUAUGAAUGGAGAAUGAUGCAUGAAUUGCUUUUACAUGGAACAUAAUGCUAGUUAAUUAGUCAAAUAUCCAAUGAAUUGUUAUUUGAGCAAUUAUCUAAGGAUUUUACACUCAAGAGAUUGAUUUGAAUGAUAUGUGCAUCUGAAUCAGUAACUUCAUAAUUCACUUGGAAUUGAAUUCAUAGAUAUCAUUGGGAAAUAACGAUGCAUUUUGAUCCCAAUUUAUUUUACUUGUUUUUUUAUUCAAUUUAUGAGUUUUUACAAUUAAACAUAAAAUUUUAUACAAACAUCAUUGCAAAUAUAUACUCAAUUCAUUCUUGUAUGAAUUAGUAUAAAUCCACUCUGCUCCCUGAGGACGAUACCCCCGUACUUUAUUGGAAUUUAUUACUUGUACGAUACGAUGCACUUGUCGUUCCGUAAAUAUCUAACAAUGCCUUCACAGACGUGGCCUUCUCGAUGUAAAACCAUGUGAAAUCAUCACCUGUGUGGUGGGAGUAUAUAACACUGAUGAGAUUAUCAAAUUCUCUCUUCUUUCAUUAACCUCCUCCAUUAAUGUGGUGAGAUAUGACUUCCGUUAAAAUUUGGGGAAGAGAAAGAGAGGGUAAAGUGUUUGUCUUUUCAAAGGCUUGGUUUUUGUCAGACAUAUAUAACUUUUAAGAUUUUGUGACCGUAGGAUGAUUUUAGGGAAGAAGAAGGAGAGAAUGGUUAAAACUUAAAAAAAAUAUUCAUAACUUGCUUUAAUUUAAAAUUAAAUAAAUUUAUUUUAAAAUCUUGGCACUUGAUUAUAAAAUUUUAUAAUGUCACAAUCUUACAUUAAUAUUGGUCUCUCCAUUAUACGAGAGGAUUCAAACUCUUCUAAAUGAUAGAUACCAAGAGUAAUACCCAAGUACAACAUGUUAUAUUUUUUAUCAAUCAGUUGUUAUAUAUGGGAUGUUACUACACCAACUUGCUUCUCCAAUAAAAUUUAUCAUUAUAUUAGUUUCUCAAACAUUAAAUUUCUCAACAACGUCUUUCUAUUAAAAUAUUUUUCGUCAAUCAAUUGUUAUAGUCGAUAUAUUAUUCACCAUUCAUUUAUAUUAUUCGAAAAAUUAAUGAUAAUUGAAAAUGAAUGAUAGAUGAUGGAUCAAUACAUAAAACUUAUACACUAUCGAUAUAUAUAUAUAUAUAAUAUAUAUAUAUCUUUUCCUCUAAAAUUAAUCUUUAAUGUGCAAAUUUGAUGAGCAAUAUCAUUGGACAAUUAUGUUGGUGACACCAUAAUUUUGUAAAAACUAAGUUGGUGGCUAUCAAAAUAAAGAUUUAAAUGACAAAAUCAAAUUUUACGAUUAACAUGUUAAAUACAAUAACUCUUUUAAAAUAUAAGAUGAUUAUUUCUGCAUUAAAUCCAACAUCUAUAUAUUUGGGGGAAAGAGAUGUUUAUCAUAUAAGUAUAGUAAUGGAAAAUAAGACGAUUUUCAUAUUUUAUAAACUCCAUCAUAUAUUUAUAUAAUAUAGUUUUAAUACCUAAUUUUGUCUAACCUAUUUUAAUACAAUGAAAAAGGUAAAGGGGAGGAAGAAAGAAAUUUUUUUGGGUAUUUUUAUGGUUUUAUAAAACCAAUUAUCUUGUACAAAACCAUGAGUUAUAGGGCCAUUUGACUCAUCUUGCUCUAUUAGGGUGUUACCACAUGUUCCUCCCUUCACACCAACACACUUUCGCACCUGCAUCCCUUCUUCACUGCUGUAGUGAGUCACUCUUAUCCCAGAGUCUUUGUAAAAUAAACUUGAAAAACAUAAAACAAAAUCCCCGUUUCACCAAUAAGAAUCUACCACGUGUUCAGUCGCUAUUAUCUUAUCUGAAAGCCAAAGAAGCUAUGGUGUAUGUUCCUCGCAAUCGUAUCCUAUCCAUGAAAUCGAACAAAACACCCCUCUUCUCAUUUCUCAAUCUCUUACACUAAUUUCUCAAUCUCUUGCACUCUUUUCUUUCUCCUCUUUUCUUCCACCAAAAAUGGCUUCACUACAACCAACCACAGCAACACUCCAAUCCAAAUACACCCAAAUCCCUAGAAACCUUCUCACCCAAAAACCCAUCCUCAACCUCUCCCUCUCUACCCCAACCUUCUCUUCUUCCUCCCUCAAACUCACCACCACUCGUCGCUCCAACGGCGGUGCACUCGGCGCCAGAAUGUCCUCCACCGCCGC